GACUGUUUGGACUAGUAAUAGAAAAUAAUGAGAAACUGCUCCUCUCUGAUCAUAAACUGACCUUCAGAAAAAAUAACACUAUACGCAACUCGAACCAAAUUGUUUUAUCUGACUCAUGCUGUGUGAAAUAAGAUAUCUGCAGAAGUCACUAUCAAAAUCAGAAAGGAUCCUGAACGGAAUGAACUUAUGGCUACCCGCUCUGGCUACACGGCAGUAGCCCCCCACAGAAUGUGGAUGCCUUGGGAACCCCAGGAUCUCUGCUGAGUGUGCCAAGGAAAGGGGCCUGCAGCUGGGAGCCAGGGAGCUCCCACAUAUAACCUUUGUGCUCUGCCAGCUGCUGGGCAGCCUGAAUCCAUGGAUGAUAAUGGAAAAGGAGAAAUCGUCAGUCUUCAGGCCUUUACUGCAGCAAACUUUGAAGGGAGCUUGAGACUUCUGAGAUCUAUACAUGCAAACCUCUCUAUGAAGCAGCCUCUUCAAAGAUCCAAGAGUCAUCCACAGCUCCAGUUCUCACCUGGUGUCAGGAAAAUCUCAUGUGAAAACUACCACAUACACUGACAGACUAAAAAAAAAUGGUUCCCUAUGAAACAUGAUUAGUGAAUUCUGAACAGCAGUGUUCCAUUUCCAACCUCCACAGCUGACAACAGCUGUAUAAUACACAAAUGAGUUCAGCAUCAAACCCAGAUACAUGAAGCAUAAUCAGUAAUUGAAACACUAGAAAGAGGAGGAUACUAAAACCUUCUGUGUCAAAGGUACCGCUCACUACUACCUAAUACGCUUUUGUGAUGGCUACAGUUAACUUAUAAAAAUAUACUGGGGGAUUCUGCUUUCACAUCUCCUUAAUGAAAACCUGGCAACGUGCUAAAAUAAGCAGGAAUAUGCUCUAGGUUUUUUUGUUUUUUUGUUUCUGUUACAAGAAUAGACCUAAAAUACUAAUGAGCUAGCAACAAAAUAUGUCUUUUACCAAUCUGCAAGAGAACAAAUAGUACUGUUCGCUUUAUGAAAUUCAUUAUCAGAUAACUCAGUCAUAACUUCUGUCAAGUGCAUGCUGUAAACUCCAGUGUUUGAACAUCAUAAAGUAGCUUCCUUAUUUGUUGGUAGUGCGCUUUUACUAGUUGUUUUUUGUUUUCAAGUUUUUAAUUAUUACUGGUUUUCUUUUCCUUAAACAUCACCAAAAACUUUCUUUGCUCAUUGCAAUAUUCUAAUCAUCAACAUCUACUGUAACUGUUCAGCUGCUGAGAUUUAUUCCAGUAAAAUAGAAUGUAAUAUCUGAUUUAUCUCUUCUAAUAAGUAAAUAAAUUUGCAUUAAGGGAAGCAAGACAUGAUUUAACUAUAUUAAUGGUGUAGUUACUAUAAAUCUACAAACCUAGAUCUUGUAUACCUUUGCAGUAGAUCUCAAAAUGUUUUACAAAAAGAGGAACACCAUUACCUCUAUUUUACAGGCUGCAAAACUUAGGCACAGGACGUGAAAACAAACUAUGAAGUCUGUGCCAUAAAGAACAGUACAAUUUCACCACAGUCUGUCCACUAAAGUUCUACGUUCUCAGUGCAUCAUAUGCACUCCAGAUUAGUCCAUGCUCUGUGUCACCUUUUGCCUUGUGUAAGAAUUCAAAGACAAUUAUAGUGACAGUGAAUAAAUGAUAGGUGGAAAAUUUUAAAAAUCCCAGUUGUUUUAAGGAAAUAUUUUUAGAACUAGAACUACCACCCAUCAACAUCAUAAAAAAAAAAAAAAAAUGAAGAAAAGUCAGUAUUAAUACAUGCACAAAGUAGUAAAGCCUAAACAGUUUUUCCGACCUUUAGACUAAGCAAAUCCCAGAAGAGAGUUAAUGACAAAGGAGAUAAAUUUUCACAUACAAAUACCAAAUAAUUCCUCCGAAACAAGCCAUCUGAGAUUAUUGAAACACAAAAAUUUCUUGCAAAAAACAGUUUUAUCUGAAUAAAAAUUCUUACAAAUAUAAAACAGGGGUACAGUAUAUAAAUUAAUAAGAAAUCUAGCUGACUUGUCAAUUUUAGCACGUCAGAACUCGGUGAAUUGCUACACUAACUAAAAAUAUAUUUUAUCCAUUAAUUUCAAUAACAAUGAAAAUGUGACCGCUAAAGCUGAGUAAAAAAUAGGGACAACCUCUGCACUGGGUUUCCAUGGCAAGAUUCUGGUAGCAGGGGUCUGCAAGGGUGGCUUCUGUGAGAAGACAUCAGAGGUUGCCCCCACAUCGGCCAGAAUCAGUUCCAGACAGAUAAAAAACAGAUCCACCCCUGACCAAAGUUAAGUCCAUCAGUGGCUCCAGUGCUACCUCUGUGAUAAUAUAAUUAAGAAAGGGUAAAAAAUUAUGUACAGCAGCUGUAAGAGAGAGGAGUGAGAAAAAUGUGAGAAACAGCCAUGCAGACACCAGCGUCAGUGAAGAAGGAGAGGGAGAAGGUGCUCCAGGCACUAGAGUAGAUCCCCCUGGAACCUGUGGUGAAGAUCAUGGUGAGGCAGGCUGUCUCCCUGCAGCCUGUGGAGGUCCACAGUG